UUAGUACUCCCUCUGUCCGGAAAUACUCGUCGGAGGAAUGAAUGUAUCUAGAUGUAUUUUAGUUCUAGAUACAUUCAUUUUUAUGCAUUUUUUCGACAAGUAUUUCUGGACGGAGGGAGUAGAUA
rnacentral:pre_miRNA from 1 species